UGGGUCUAAUACCGAAUACACCUCGCUGGCCGCAUGGUCUGGUGGGGGAAAGCUUUUGCGGUGUGGGAUGGGCCCGCGGCCUAUCAGCUUGUUGGUGGGGUGAUGGCCUACCAAGGCGACGACGGGUAGCCGGCCUGAGAGGGUGACCGGCCACACUGGGACUGAGAUACGGCCCAGACUCCUACGGGAGGCAGCAGUGGGGAAUAUUGCACAAUGGGCGCAAGCCUGAUGCAGCGACGCCGCGUGGGGGAUGACGGCCUUCGGGUUGUAAACCCCUUUCAGCACAGACGAAGCGCGAGUGACGGUAUGUGCAGAAGAAGGACCGGCCAACUACGUGCCAGCAGCCGCGGUAAUACGUAGGGUCCGAGCGUUGUCCGGAAUUACUGGGCGUAAAGAGCUCGUAGGUGGUUUGUCGCGUUGUUCGUGAAAACUCACAGCUCAACUGUGGGCGUGCGGGCGAUACGGGCAGACUAGAGUACUGCAGGGGAGACUGGAAUUCCUGGUGUAGCGGUGGAAUGCGCAGAUAUCAGGAGGAACACCGGUGGC
rnacentral:rRNA from 1 species